UUGUUAAAGUGUGCGUCCACAUUCAUUAAGUUGUUUUAAUAUUGAUAGUCGUUCCGAAGACAAAUAUUGAUCUUGGAUUGGCUUGUGGUCCUGUGUGGUUCACGUCGACGUCUUUUGCAGAAAGUAAAACCUGGGGUUUGUUUUGCCUCUCUUCGUCAUGAAUUUCUUCGAUUGGAGAAAAGGAAGUUGAAAUGCAGGGGAAGUAUCAGCUUAAAGCUGAACCACACGGAAGGAACGUGACCUUGACGUGAAGGGACUUUUAGCCGCCCGAUUACCAGUUCGAAUAUAUUGUGGCAAUCUCUUCAUCCUUAACAACUACCACGAUGGCAUGAAAGAGAGUUGAAGUAGGGUCAGCUCCUCCAGAAUGUAUCUUGUAUGACCUUCACCCUGGGACUAUUUACUACACAACAGUUGGGAUAUGGAAAGAUAUGCACUUUGCGGAAUAUCAAGAAACAAGCGAAAUAAUUUC